AAAUAAAGUGCAGUUCCCCUUUAAGAAGAACAUACGAAUAUACACGGAAAGUCAGGCAGAAGAAUAUGCGAUGAGAGGCGGUGAGAUGCAGAAGCGACUGACAUCCUGUGUCCUCCUCUCCAGGAAUUACACGCCUCCAGCAAGGGUGAAGGGUGAAACACUGCGAUCAACAACAUGGCGGCUAAUCUUGGUGCUACUGUAUCUUCACCACGACAAUCAAAGAUUGUCAAAACAGCUUGAAGAUGACCUUCUUCUUCAACUCUUGCCUCAUCAAUAACACAUCUCCACAUUGGUGGGCGGUAUAGCUCGGUUGGUAGAGUGGCCGUGCCAGCAACUUGAGGGUUCCAGGUUUGAUCCCCGCUUCAGCCAUCCUAGUCACUGCUGUUGUGUCCUUGGGCAAGACACUUUACCCACCUGCUCCCAGUGCCACCCACACUGGUUUAAAUCUAACUUAGAUAUUGGGUUUCACUAUGUAAAAGCGCUUUGCGUACCUAGAGCAGGGGUGUCAAACUCAAAUACAGAGUGGGCCAAAAUUUAAAACUGAACAAAGCCGCGGGCCAAUAGGGACACAAACAAGUUUUGCACUGAAUAUUGAACAAGCAAGGUGUAUAUAACUUUAUAGUGACAUGCAAAAUCGAGUUUCAAAUAAUAAUAAUUAAAAAAUAUCAAUGGCAUAUCAAAUACAAUUUAAAUAAAAAUGUAAUGCCUCUUUUCUAUUUGAAGCUUUCUGAGGUAAAUAUCAACUUUAACUUUUUCCACAGGCUAAUAAAUUUGAAAAUAAAAUAAUGAAUAAACCAACCAUUCAGGACUUUAAACUGCUCAGUUUGCAACACACUCUAAUCUGAUGUGCCUAAGCCAGAUACCUGUCAUCUUUUCUUGGAUGCUAGUUCAUUAAUGUCGGGGCAACCUUCAUUAUCGAACGAAGGUGUUCAUCAGUCAUUAUAUCUCGUAGUCCACCCGGACCACAGUCUUGGGGGCGUGCCUUGAAGGCACUGCCUUUAACGUCCUCUACGAGCUGUCGUCACGUCCGCUUUUCAUCCAUUCUAACAACGUGCCGGCCCAGUCACAAGAUAUGUGCGGCUUCCGUACGCACACA